CCUACGGGAGACAGCAGUGAGGAAUAUUGGUCAAUGGACGAGAGUCUGAACCAGCCAAGUAGCGUGAAGGAUGACUGCCCUAUGGGUUGUAAACUUCUUUUAUAAAGGAAUAAAACGAGGCACGUGUGCCUUUUUGCAUGUACUUUAUGAAUAAGGAUCGGCUAACUCCGUGCCAGCAGCCGCGGUAAUACGGAGGAUCCGAGCGUUAUCCGGAUUUCUUGGGUUUAAAGGGAGCGUAGAUGGGUUGUUAAGUCAGUUGUGAAAGUUUGCGGCUCAACCGUAAAAUUGCAAUUGAUACUGGCAGUCUUGAGUACAGUUGAGGUAAGCGGAAUUCGUGGUGUAGCGGUGAAAUGCUUAGAUAUCACGAAGAACCCCGAUUGCGAAGGCAGCUUACUAAACUGUGACUGACAUUGAUGCUCGAAAGUGUGGGUAUCAAACAGGAUUAGAUACCCGGGUAGUC
rnacentral:rRNA from 1 species